CGGAGGGGGUUAGCGUUGUUCGGAAUGACUGGGGCGUAAAAGCGCGCGUAGGCGGAUCAUCAAGUCGGGGGGUGAAAUCCCCGGGGGCUCAACCCCCGGAAUGGCCUUCGAGACUAGUGGUCUUGAGUUCGAGAGGGGUGAGUGGAAUUCCGAGUGUAGAGGUGAAAUUCGUAGAUAUUCGGAGGAACACCAGUGGCGAAGGCGGCUCACUGGCUCGACACUGACGCUGAGGUGCGAAAGCGUGGGGAGCAAACAGGAUU
rnacentral:rRNA from 1 species